UGGGCCCUAUAAACCCAUUCUUUGGCAGC
rnacentral:piRNA from 1 species